AGAGUUUGAUCCUGGCUCAGGAUGAACGCUGGCGGUAUGCUUAACACAUGCAAGUCGAACGGAGUACUUCGGUACUUAGUGGCGGACGGGUGAGUAACGCGUGAGAAUCUGCCUUCAGGUUCGGGACAACCACUGGAAACGGUGGCUAAUACCGAAUGUGCAGCAAUGUGAAAAAUUUAUUGCCUGAAGAUGAGCUCGCGUCUGAUUAGCUAGUAGGUGUGGUAAGAGCGCACCUAGGCGACGAUCAGUAGCUGGUCUGAGAGGAUGAUCAGCCACACUGGGACUGAGACACGGCCCAGACUCCUACGGGAGGCAGCAGUGGGGAAUUUUCCGCAAUGGGCGAAAGCCUGACGGAGCAAUACCGCGUGAGGGAGGAAGGCUCUUGGGUUGUAAACCUCUUUUCUCAAGGAAGAAAAAAAUGACGGUACUUGAGGAAUAAGCAUCGGCUAACUCCGUGCCAGCAGCCGCGGUAAUACGGAGGAUGCAAGCGUUAUCCGGAAUGAUUGGGCGUAAAGCGUCCGCAGGUGGCUAUGUAAGUCUGCUGUUAAAGAGUCUGGCUCAACCAGAUAAAGGCAGUGGAAACUACAUGGCUAGAGUGCGUUCGGGGCAGAGGGAAUUCCUGGUGUAGCGGUGAAAUGCGUAGAGAUCAGGAAGAACACCGGUGGCGAAAGGCUCUGCUAGGCCGCAACUGACACUGAGGGACGAAAGCUAGGGGAGCGAAUGGGAUUAGAUACCCUAGUAGUCC
rnacentral:rRNA from 1 species